UACGGAGGGCGCGAGCGUUAAUCGGAAUUACUGGGCGUAAAGGGAACGCAGGCGGUCUUUUAAGUCUGAUGUGAAAGCCUUCGGCUUAACCGGAGUAGUGCAUUGGAAACUGGGAGACUUGAGUGCAGAAGAGGAGAGUGGAACUCCAUGUGUAGCGGUGAAAUGCGUAGAUAUAUGGAAGAACACCAGUGGCGAAAGCGGCUCUCUGGUCUGUAACUGACGCUGAGGUUCGAAAGCGUGGGUAGCAAACAGG
rnacentral:rRNA from 1 species